AACCUCCGCAAUGUGAGAAAUCGCGACGGGGGGAUCCCAAGUGCCAUUCCUAACGGGAUGGCUUUUCAUUAGUGUAAAGAGCUUUUGGAAUAAGGGCUGGGCAAGACCGGUGCCAGCCGCCGCGGUAACACCGGCAGCUCUAGUGGUAGCCAUUUUUAUUGGGCCUAAAGCGUUCGUAGCCGGUUUGAUAAGUCUCUGGUGAAAUCCUGUAGCUUAACUGUGGGAAUUGCUGGAGAUACUAUUAGACUUGAGGUCGGGAGAGGUUAGCGGUACUCCCAGGGUAGGGGUGAAAUCCUGUAAUCCUGGGAGGACCACCUGUGGCGAAGGCGGCUAACUGGAACGAACCUGACGGUGAGGGACGAAAGCCAGGGGCGCGAACCGGAUUAGAUACCCGGGUAGUCCUGGCCGUAAACGAUGUGGACUUGGUGUUGGGAUGGCUUCGAGCUGUUUCAGUGCCGAAGGGAAGCUGUUAAGUCCACCGCCUGGGAAGUACGGUCGCAAGACUGAAACUUAAAGGAAUU
rnacentral:rRNA from 1 species